GGGGUCCUGUUGGGUUCUAAGUACAUGCACCGUGGUGGGGUUGCUGGAUCCCCUUCUUUUCCUUAAGCUCAUAAGCUCAAAAUUGUUUUUCUUCUCUGAGCGGCUGGCCCAGGAUGAGCCUAUCAGCAAAAGCCCCUGCAUGGCUUCCGUGUUGCACCAUCCUGCCACACUCUGGGCCUUGGUUUGUUUUUCUGUGAAAUUGGGGUGACAGCUGAGGGUUGGGGGAUGCGGCCAGUGGCCCAGCUUUAGGGCCCCCCCCCCCGGAAAUCAGGGUUUCGCAGCAGCCCUGGUGGGCAAAGGCAGAGGAUGUCAGGGAGCUGGACAGGCCUGCGGCUAAGGUGCCACUCACACCUCAGCCUGCGGGCUGCUGCGUACUGCCACCCCCGCCCCACUGUCCCCACCAGGCUGGCCACCCAAGACAGCCUCCUGCAGCAGGAACACGGCUGCCUGGAAACCUGCAGAUGGCUCAGGACCUCAUUCUACCAGGGUAGGGAGGGACUGAGGCCUCAAAAUUCAGGUCCUGAAUUUUGGCCACAGUGGCCACGCUUGUGACUCAGGAGGCUGAGGCAGGAGGAUCACAAGUUGAGGCCAACCCAGGCAACCUAUUGAGACCUUGUCUCAAAAUAAAAAAAAUUAAAAGGGCUGGACAUGUAGGUCAGUGGUAGAGCACUCCUGGGUUCAAUCUCCAGUACCCCCUGCCCCCCAAAUCAAUCAAUCAAUCCAGGUCCUAAUGCAGGUGGACGCCGUCCCCACUCCUGGUCUCUGGCCUUCCUGAGCCACCAACACCAGUCCCAUGAGAAUUGUGAGUGCCUGCCAAAGCCACAGGAACUGGUCUGCCAGGGCUCAGCUCUGCUUGAACCUAGAGCAACGUGAACUGAACAUUCUAUUGACAAGCUUUUUUGUUUCCCUCUGUAAACCCCUAGGCCAGAUGGACCCACACGAACAUCCACCCUGGGCUGGGGAUCACACCUGGUGACAGCCUGGUCUAGCAUGUGUGAGGCCCUGGUCGCAUCCCCAACACCAGGGGAAAAGCAAAAAAGUCAGUUAGAGGGAACCACUCCACCUCCAGGACCAGGAGCCACAUUCUUCCCGAGUGCAGGGAGUGUCCCCAGGACGGGCCACAGGACGGGCCUCAAUCCACUGAAAAGCACAGAAACGAUACAAAGUACGAUCUCCGACCUCAAAGGAAUGAGGGUGGAAAUCAAAACCAGAGACGCUGGGCAACCUCAGAAAUCCCUGCAAGUUGGAGAACACACAGCUCGGCACAGGGCGGAGCUGCCAGCAGGUCACCCAGUCCUGGCAGAGGGGAGGCCUGCAGGGCUGGGGGCCCGGGCUCUGCAGACCUGGGGGCGGGGGGCCUGCAGCGCCUGGGGCUGUGGCCUCCACGUGGGUGACCCUGGAGGGACCCGAGAGCAGCUCCUGAGACUCCAAGGCUGCCCAUGGGGUUGCCCCGGGGUCUGCUUCUGCUGACACUCACCUGGGCACCAUCCUCCUGCUCCUCUAGAACAUUCUGGAAGCUCCCCGCCGCCCCUCCCCCUCCCGGCCCAUCUCUUCCCACAAGCCCCUGCUCCUCCCGGGGCCUGUUUUUCUUUCUUUCUUUUUGCCCCAAACCCUUCCUAUGUGUCCCAGGGAACCCCAGUGACCCCGAAGGCCUGCAGGGAUGGGGCUGGACUGUGCGGGGACCUGAAAGGAGGGAGCAGCUUGUGAGUGGGCACAGUGGCUUCGCCCCCGACGUCUACAGUGUGAAACAGAGUCCAGGCUGCCCGGGGGGAGGGGGCAGAGCUUCUGACCCUGGGCCCAGAGGGUGCUGCACGGUGUGGAGUGCAGUGUCACCGGCCCUGGUCACCCCGCUCUGCCACCGUCCUCUAGGCCCUGGGCUGCCCUGGGCUGGUGAGCAGCCGGGCGCUGGCAGCAGCUCUCCCACCUGUGCCCUCCUCGGGGACAGGGAGGGUCCUGCCUGGGGCUCUGGCCCCCCCAGGAGACGGCACGUUGAGGACGUCCAGCAGGGCGGCCUGCGGGCCACUCUGGACUGUCGCAGGCAAGCAGGGCAGAGCCUCCGCCCGACGAGCAGCCCGCACGCCCCGGACUGCCCUCGCCUCCGU
rnacentral:lncRNA from 1 species